rnacentral:rRNA from 1 species
CCUACGGGAGGCAGCAGUGAGGAAUAUUGGUCAAUGGGCUUACGCCUGAACCAGCCAAGUCGCGUGAGGGAAGACUGCCCUAUGGGUUGUAAACCUCUUUUGUCAGGGAGCAAUUGGCGCUACGUGUAGCGUUAUCGAGAGUACCUGACGAAAAAGCAUCGGCUAACUUCGUGCCAGCAGCCGCGGUAAUACGGAGGAUGCGAGCGUUAUCCGGAUUUAUGGGGUUUAAAGGGUGCGCAGGCGGAAUGUCAAGUCAGCGGUAAAAUUUCGGGGCUCAACCCCGUCGUGCCGUUGAAACUGGCGUUCUUGAGUGUGCGAGAGGUAUGCGGAAUGCGUGGUGUAGCGGUGAAAUGCAUAGAGAUCGCGCAGAACCCCGAUUGCGAAGGCGGCGUGCCGUGCCGCCACUGACGCUGAGGCACGAAAGCGCGGGGAUCGAACAGGAUUAGAUACCCCGGUAGUC